rnacentral:rRNA from 1 species
GACGAACGCUGGCGGCGUGCUUAACACAUGCAAGUCGAACGGUGAAGGGGCCUGCUUUUGUGGGUCCUGGAUGAGUGGCGAACGGGUGAGUAACACGUGAGUAACCUGCCCCCUUCUUCUGGAUAACCGCAUGAAAGUGUGGCUAAUACGGGAUAUUCUGGGUCUGUCGCAUGGUGGGCCUGGGAAAGAUUGCGCUUUUUUGGUGUUUUUGGUGGGGGAUGGGCUCGCGGCCUAUCAGCUUGUUGGUGGGGUGAUGGCCUACCAAGGCGGUGACGGGUAGCCGGCCUGAGAGGGUGGACGGUCACACUGGGACUGAGACACGGCCCAGACUCCUACGGGAGGCAGCAGUGGGGAAUAUUGCACAAUGGGCGCAAGCCUGAUGCAGCGACGCCGCGUGAGGGAUGGAGGCCUUCGGGUUGUGAACCUCUUUCGCCAGUGAAGCAGGCCUGCCUCGUUUGUGGGUGGGUUGACG